GGCAGAGCUCAUUUGUGAGGGAAAUUGGAUUGGGAAUUGACCUAGCCUGCUGGGAGGAUGUUCAGCUUAGGUGCUCAGCCUCUAUAGUGCUGGGGCUGGGCAGGAGCACAGAAGAAAGAUCCAGCCAACUCUCCUUUCCAAUGAAACAGCAAGGAUGAAUUUGGGUGUCCAAGGAGUGCUGACCUGAAGCCACUCCUGCUGAGCCCUUCUUAUGCAGCUGUUCCAGUGUACCUCAAGGAAUGCCAAUGCCAUUUUGUGCUAUUGCAGCUGUAAGCCACCUUGCAUGUAAGGCAGUGAGAGUCAAUUCUCCAGACCACUUCUGAGCAAAACACUAUGCAGAAAGAGUUGAAUAUACAACUAAAAGCUACCCAGCUCCUUUCACAUGUUGCCUUGUCAAGGUUGAAAACCAAGUCUAAAGAAGGCCAUUCAUCUUGUUAGGAGAGCCCUGAAAGAGAUUGGAUUAAAACCAGAAGAACUUUCCCCCCUGCCCCCUCCCUUUUUUUUUUUUAAACCAGACUAUUUUGUGGUGGUGUUCAUAUACUGUCUGAACUCCUGAGUCCUUAGGGUCAACUUGAGUCUCAUUUUCAAGCUUUCCUAUUUAAGCACAGGGGAUUAAAAUGGAAGUUGAGAUUCUCGUGGGCAUCCAGGAUAUGAGGCCUUAAAACAAACAAACAAAACUAGAAUGAAUAGGCCUCUAAAUAAAAUUGCAAGAUUGUAUUUGGUGAUACUUCCCCUUUCCCCCUCCUGCCCACCCCACACACAUUGUUAAUGAAUAUCUCGCUGCUAUCUGAUUGUUUUGCUUCCCCCUCACAUUUUAUAUUGCUCUGCUCUGUCAAAUCAGAACUCGGUCAUCUCAUUUAUUGGACAUCCUGCUUUACAAAAUCUCUGCCAGAUCAAGAAUCCUACAAACAAGCAGGAGCUGGUCCUGUCAUAAAUGUCGACAGUCAUCCAGAAGGGACACACUAAAAGCAAGGAACCAUGGCUCCCAAGACAACACUUAACCAAUCGUUUAUCUAUGGUUCAUCUACUUGCCAUUCUUGCAAGUGACCGUGGGGUGUCAGUAGUGUUCCUCACAAAGGUUUCAAAAGAAGCUGCUCGGGGAACUAGCGAACCUCUGGAAAAUGCUAAAGAAAGCUGAUGUUAGGAGCCGAGCUACGGUGCCCGGAGGUGACUUUCUGUACCCCUGAAUUUUGCUGACAGCCUGUCAGGAGCCCAUCUGUAUGCAUUUAACUUGUUCAUACAGUUUAUUAACUUGUCCGUGUAGUUUGACCCACAAAUGUCAAAAUAUUUGCUGGGACUUGUAUUUUCAUGGGCUAUAAAUUGCUUGUGAUUGCAUGCUGUAGCAAUAAAAACCCUGUUAUAUAUGUACAUUAUCCUCAUCUUAUGAAACACCAGCCUCUCACAAUUAAGUACCUGUGCAUCAAGAUGUUUCCUUAACUUUAUCUAAGCCUGCUAAUGUCCCACUCAGCACAGCUGCAAAAUGUUAACCUUCUCAGGUUUUCAGACCUCAUCUUCUGCCAGGUCCCACCUGUGUGUUGGGUUUUUUUUAAAGACAAUUGUACCAGAAGUGAGUGAUGUGCAGCCUAUGCAAAAAAAAUGCUGGAAACCCAGCAGCAGCCAGCACUGACUGAAGCAGUUAGACAUUUAGAGAAGUGCAGAGUUGAAAGGGGACCUCGAGGCACCUAGUCUGA